rnacentral:rRNA from 1 species
GCUUGUCUCAAAGAUUAAGCCAUGCACGUCUAAGUAUAAGCGAUUAUACUGUGAAACUGCGAAUGGCUCAUUAUAUCAGUUAUAGUUUAUUUGAUGGUCCUUGCUACUUGGAUAACCGUAGUAAUUCUAGAGCUAAUACAUGCAUAAAGCCCUGACUGUUUGGAAGGGGUGUAUUUAUUAGAUGGAAACCAAUUCGGGGCAACCCGGUUCAUGGUGAUUCAUAAUAACUUUUCGAAUCGCAUGGCCUUGUGCCGGCGAUGGAUCAUUCAAGUUUCUGCCCUAUCAGCUUUGGAUGGUAGGGUAUUGGCCUACCAUGGCUUUAACGGGUAACGGAGAAUUAGGGUUCGAUUCCGGAGAGGGAGCCUGAGAAACGGCUACCACAUCCAAGGAAGGCAGCAGG